GGGUCAGUAGGUUGGUCGUGCCACCGGUACGUACUGGUCUCACUGACUCCUCCUUCCUGAAGUACCGUAAUGCCAUUAAUUUGGUGUUGCGGGGAAACAGGACUGUUACUUUGAAAAAAUUAGAGUGUUUAAAGCAAGCUAACGCUUGAAUACAUUAGCAUGGAAUAAUGAAAUAGGACGAUCGAUCCUAUUUUGUUGGUUUCUAGGAUUGACGUA
rnacentral:rRNA from 1 species